rnacentral:rRNA from 1 species
AUGAAGGGUCUCGUCGUAGUCCUUCUGGGCCUUGUGAUCGUCAGUGCCAUUGGUGCUAGCAGCGCGGAUGUGCGGCGGCCGGUGGUGCCGGCGAUGUUCGUGCUGGGGGACUCGACCCUAGACGUGGGCAACAACAACCAUCUGCCGGGGAAGGACGUGCCCAGGGCCAACGAGCCCUUCUACGGCAUUGACUUCCCCGGCGGCGCCCGGGCCACCGGGCGGUUCAGCAACGGCUACAACAUCGCCGACUUCGUCGCGAGGCAGCUGGGGUUCGAGAGGAGCCCCCUGGCAUACCUGGUGCUGAAAUCACGCAACUAUCUCGUCCCCAGCGCUCUCACCAGAGGGGUGAGCUACGCCUCGGCGGGAUCCGGGAUCCUCGACUCCACUAACGCAGGAAAGAACAUACCGUUAUCGAAGCAGGUGCAAUACUUCGCGUCCACCAAGGCCGAGAUGGAGGUUGUGUGGGGCAGCCGUAAAGUCUCCAAGAUCAUCGCCAACUCCUUCUUCCUCCUUGGCACCGGUAGCAACGAUCUCUUCCAGACCAGACCAAAGUCCCAAGCCGAUGUUGCGGCACUCUAUGCCACCCUCGUCUCGAACUACUCCGCAGCCAUCACUGACCUGUAUGGAAUGGGCGCGAGGAAGUUCGGGAUCAUCAACACGGGCCCAGUCGGGUGUGUGCCACGGGUGCGUUUGUUGAACGCGACUGGCGCCUGCAACGAUGGAAUGAACCGUCUCGCCGCUGGGCUCGCCGCGGCGAUCAAGUCCGGCCUCGCCACCACGCUCACCACGACCAGGCUCCCUGGCCUCGCGUACUCCCUCGCCGACUCCUUCGCUGGCUCGCGGGCCAACUUCAAAAACCCUCAAGCGACCGGGUUGGUGAACGCCGAUAGCGCUUGCUGCGGGAGUGGUAAGCUGGGCGCGGAGGGUAAGUGCAUGAGGAACGCGACACUGUGCGGUGACCGUGACGCAUAUGCUUUCUUUGACAAUGUGCACCCGAGCCAGCGGGCCGCUGAGCUGAGUGCCCAGGCGCUCUUUGUUGACGGCCCAACACAAAUCACCGCACCCAUCAGCUUCAAGGAGUUAGCCCACCAGAGAUGA